rnacentral:rRNA from 1 species
UUGACCUCAAAUCGAGUAGGACUACCCGCUGAACUUAAGCAUAUCAAUAAGCGGAGGAAAAGAAACUAACAAGGAUUCCCCUAGUAACGGCGAGUGAAGAGGGAAGAGCUCAAAUUUUGAAUCUGGUGCCUUCGGUGCCCGAAUUGUAAUCUAGAGAAGUGUUUUCCAUGACGGACCGUGCAUAAGUCUCCUGGAAUGGAGCGUCAUAGAGGGUGAGAAUCCCGUAUAUGGCAUGGACUCCCGUUGUUCUGUGAUACACUCUCGACGAGUCGAGUUGUUUGGGAAUGCAGCUCUAAAUGGGUGGUAAAUGCCAUCUAAAGCUAAAUAUUGGCGAGAGACCGAUAGCGAACAAGUACCGUGAGGGAAAGAUGAAAAGCACUUUGGAAAGAGAGUGAAACAGUACGUGAAAUGG